rnacentral:rRNA from 1 species
AUCGCCCUCUUUCUUCAGGCCUAACACAUGCAAGUCGAACGAACCUUUCGGGGUUAGUGGCGGACGGGUGAGUAACACGUGGGAACGUGCCUUUAGGUUCGGAAUAACUCAGGGAAACUUGUGCUAAUACCGAAUGUGCCCUUCGGGGGAAAGAUUAAUCGCCUUUAGAGCGGCCCGCGUCUGAUUAGCUAGUUGGUUGAGGUAAUGGCUCACCAAGGCGACGAUCAGUAGCUGGUCUGAGAGGAUGAUCAGCCACAUUGGGACUGAGACACGGCCCAAACUCCUACGGGAAGCAGCAGUGGGGAAUCUUGCGCAAUGGGCGAAAGCCUGACGCAGCCAUGCCGCGUGAAUGAUGAAGGUCUUAGGAUUGUAAAAUUCUUUCACCGGGGACGAUAAUGACGGUACCCGGAGAAGAAGCCCCGGCUAACUUCGUG